UGCCUGCUUACAUGCCUGCAUUGCCUCAGCCUUUUCUUCCCGUCCAGUGUCCUGUACAGGGGCCUAGACAGGUGGACUCGCUCCAAGUCCCUAUGGGCCAGAAGGCUGGCUUCAGGGCUGUGGUCCAUCUAGAAUGUCUUGGGCAGAGGCUGCCUGGAGCUGCCUGCUGGACGCUCUGCAGAAGGCCCAAGUCUCCUCGAAUCCCCUUUCUGCAGGCUUCCAACUGGAUCUGUGGGAUGAGAAGGCACGUGUGUGUCUGUGUGCCUAUGGUGAGACCUGCUACACUGGUAGGGAGUCAGUGUUCUGAGGGUGCCUCAUCAUGUUCUAUUCCAGCAGGCCUCACAGAGCAUUGUAAGAAUCGUGGUUCACGGUGGCUUUGUUUAUAUUAUUUAACCAUUGGCUCUGAGAACAUUAAAGAGAGUUUUUCCUUUUUUUCUUUGAGACGGGCUUUCAUGUAUUUCAGGCUAGCCUAGAACGCCAUAUGUAGUCAAGAAUGACCUUAAAUUAGGCAGGCAUUCUACCCCCUGAGACACAUCUCCAGCCCCAGCCCCAGUCACCUGGAGUCUGUGGCACUGGUUCUGGGGAUGCCGAGGAGUAGCCUUAGGCCCUUGGGUGGGUCUAGGUGUGUGAAUAGGGAAGCAGACCUGUCUCAGACACGCUCAGUAGCCACUGCAGGUUCAAGCUGUGUCGGCAGACAGAACCUUCCAUAAGAGCCCAUGGCCUGGCACCUUGCCGAAACUUGGCAGGCUAACAAAAUGUGGAUAUGGGAAGAUAGUCAUGAAGGGCAGCUUAUGAAGUAGACAUGUGUCCCCCACCCUGACGUCCACAAGGAAAGUGUGAUGUUCUCACCCUGGUGGACUCCUGGCAGUCCCAUGUGGCCCUGGUGAGCACACAGGAGCCAUUGCCUCUAGGGUUUAAAGGGAAGCUAGGGCCUAUGUUCUCUGGUCAUCUCUGUAGCUGCACUUGUCUCCAGGACGCCAGAGAUUUGGGGAGCAAAACCGGAAGUUCAUCUUCUGAACUCUACUAACAAGCUUUUGCACUGAGAAAAGUUCAGCUAGGUUGUUCCACUGGUACUUGGGGAUGCUGGGACAUGAGCCAGGGCCACUGGAAGAGAGAUCAUAGUGUACAGGUAACCAAGGAGCCUCACUGUAGCACAGAUUCUAAUUGGUCUUAUUAGUAAAAACCUGGAGUCAGAUAUCAGAGUAAAUGCUGAAAAAUCAGAGAAGUAGAACAGCCAGCCUCAAGUUCUUACCUUGGCCGAAAGGGCGCCUGACCUCCUGUCUCCACACUGCCUUAUAUUCCUGUCUCCACACAGCCAUAUCACUUCCUGUCUCCACGUCCCUAGUGCUGAGAUUAAAGGCAUGAGAUCCCAAGUGCUGGGAUCAAAGGUGUGUGCCACCACUGCCUGGCCUCUAUGGCUAACUAGUGGCUUAACUGUGCACUCUGAUCUUCAGGCAAGCUUUAUUUGUUAGAUCACAAAACAUCACCACACCUCACUCCCAGCCGGAAGCUUCCGGAAGUGCUGGCACAGGCUCAAUAGAGAACUUGUCACAGUGCGGGCUUCUGUCUCAGCCCUCACUUCGUGUUCUGGGAGCUUUGAUUCUCGGAACAGUAUGGAAGAGAGAUUCCACUUCUUGGAGCCACCAUGCUGAGUCAGCCUGCUUUUUAUGCUGAGUCAGCCUGCUUUUUUUUCCCCCCUCUUUCUUUCUUUCUUUUUUUUUUUUUUUAGAGCGAGGAGAGGGUUUCUCUGUGUAGGAGCUCUCUUUAUAGACCAGGCUGGCCUCGAACCCACAGAAAUCGGCCCGCCUCUGACUUCCGAGUGCUGGGAUUUCAGCCUCUUUUUGAUGUCCUGUAUCAAUAAAGACAAAUGCUCCAGCUUUC